AUUGAACGCUGGCGGCAGGCCUAACACAUGCAAGUCGAGCGAGCGGCGGACGGGUGAGUAAUGUCUGGGAAACUGCCUGAUGGCUGGGGAUAACUACUGGAAACGGUAGCUAAUACCGCAUACUGUCAGCUGUGCCCAUAUGGGAUUAGCUAGUAGGUGAGGUAAUGGCUCACCUAGGCGACGAUCCCUAGCUGGUCUGAGAGGAUGACCAGCCACACUGGAACUGAGACACGGUCCAGACGCCGACGGGAGGCAGCAGUGUGGAAUAUUGCACAAUGGGCGCAAGCCUGAUGCAGCCAUGCCGCGUGUGUGAAGAAGGCCUUCGGGUUGUAAAGCACUUUCAGCCGGGAGGCGUUACCAGCAGAAGAAGCACCGGCUAACUCCGUGCCAGCCGCCGCGGUAAUAC
rnacentral:rRNA from 1 species